rnacentral:rRNA from 1 species
UACGGAGGGUGCAAGCGUUAUCCGGAUUUACUGGGUUUAAAGGGUGUGUAGGCGGGCAGUUAAGUCAGUGGUGAAAUCUCCGGGCUCAACCCGGAAACUGCCAUUGAUACUAAUUGUCUUGAAUUUUGUUGAGGAGGGCGGAAUAUGUCAUGUAGCGGUGAAAUGCAUAGAUAUGACAUAGAACACCGAUAGCGAAGGCAGCUCUCUAAGCAAAUAUUGACGCUGAGGCACGAAAGCGUGGGGAUCAAACAGG